GGAGGAUCUGUUCCUUCCACCAAACCUCCACGUGAGUAGUGUUAGCCUGGUUCAAGCAAUAAUGAGCAACCCCCCAGGUAAUGAGGAUACUCGAUUUUACCACCAUUUCUCACCUAGCAAGCCCAGCCACAAGUGCCCUGCUCAAACCAGAGAAAGGAGGAGUAUCUUUUAAACCCUUGGAGGCAGAAGUUACUGCUCUGUGAUCUGUGCUGCUGGAGGUGUGACUAUGGAAGAAAAGCACACCUUGAACAGAGAUCCUGGCAACCUAAGGCAGCUCCACUGCGAGCUGCAGAUUGGAUUUGGUGUAGCGCUGUGGCAACUGAAAACAAAUGUGUGGCAAAGGAUUCCUUCUGGGGAAAAAUAGCUUUAAAACUGGGAAACUUUGUAGCUAUUUGUCCUGAGGAAGAAUUUUUGAUUGAAUAAAUGUCUGUCUGCAAUA